GAUGAACGCUGGCGGCAUGCCUAAUACAUGCAAGUCGAACGAGAGGAAGGAUAGCUUGCUUUUCUGAAUCUAGUGGCGAACGGGUGAGUAACACGUAGGUAACCUGCCCAUGUGCCCGGGAUAACUUCUGGAAACGGAUGCUAAGACCGGAUAGGUAGCAGACAAGCAUUUGACUGCUAUUAAAGUGGCUAAGGCCAUGAACAUGGAUGGACCUGCGGUGCAUUAGCUAGUUGGUGAGGUAACGGCCCACCAAGGCGACGAUGCAUAGCCGGCCUGAGAGGGCGGACGGCCACAUUGGGACUGAGACACGGCCCAAACUCCUACGGGAGGCAGCAGUAGGGAAUUUUCGUCAAUGGGGGGAACCCUGAACGAGCAAUGCCGCGUGAGUGAGGAAGGUCUUCGGAUCGUAAAGCUCUGUUGUAAGAGAAAAACGACAUUCAUAGGGAAUGAUGAGUGAGUGAUGGUAUCUUACCAGAAAGUCACGGCUAACUACGUGCCAGCAGCCGCAGUAA
rnacentral:rRNA from 1 species